UCUCACUGUAGAAGGAGGUGAUUCUCGAUGCUGGUCCUUAAAUGGUACAUGUCAAUAUACAUCGGAAGCUUGUAUCAAAUUCAAACCAGGAUAUUGUGCCGGACCAACUAAUAGACAAUGUUGUGUUAUAGGGGCGGAUAUACCAUGCUGGUUGAGAAGGGGAACAUGCCAAAGUACUUCGGACUACUGUGGUGGAGAAUUUCUGAGAGGGCUAUGUGGCGGAGAUCGGUCGCGCCGUUGUUGUGUGUAAUUCUAAUUUCAGAAAUAAAAUCAGAAUAAUUUUA